CAAACUGAGAGUUUGAUCCUGGCUCAGGACGAACGCUGGCGGCGUGCCUAACACAUGCAAGUCGAGCGAUGAAGCUUCCUUCGGGAAGCGGAUUAGCGGCGGACGGGUGAGUAACACGUGAGCAACCUGCCUCAAAGAGGGGGAUAGCCUCCCGAAAGGGAGAUUAAUACCGCAUAAUAUCAGAGUUUCGCAUGAUUUUCUGAUUAAAGGAGUAA
rnacentral:rRNA from 1 species